rnacentral:rRNA from 1 species
GACGAACGCUGGCGGCGUGCUUAACACAUGCAAGUCGAACGCUGAAGCCUGGCUUUUGUUGGGUGGAUGAGUGGCGAACGGGUGAGUAACACGUGAGUAACCUGCCCUCUUCUUUGGGAUAACGCCCGGAAACGGGUGCUAAUACUGGAUAUUCACUUGCCUUCGCAUGGGGGUGGGUGGAAAGGGUUUUUUCUGGUGGGGGAUGGGCUCGCGGCCUAUCAGCUUGUUGGUGGGGUGAUGGCUUACCAAGGCUUUGACGGGUAGCCGGCCUGAGAGGGUGACCGGUCACAUUGGGACUGAGAUACGGCCCAGACUCCUACGGGAGGCAGCAGUGGGGAAUAUUGCACAAUGGGCGCAAGCCUGAUGCAGCGACGCCGCGUGAGGGAUGGAGGCCUUCGGGUUGUGAACCUCUUUCGCUCAUGGUCAAGCCGCAACUCAUGGUUGUGGUGAGGGUAGUGGGUAAAGAAGCGCCGGCUAACUACGUGCCAGCAGCCGCGGUAAUACGUAGGGCGCGAGCGUUGUCCGGAAUUAUUGGGCGUAAAGGGCUUGUAGGCGGUUGGUCGCGUCUGCCGUGAAAUCCUCUGGCUUAACUGGGGGCGUGCGGUGGGUACGGGCUGGCUUGAGUGCGGUAGGGGAGACUGGAACUCCUGGUGUAGCGGUGGAAUGCGCAGAUAUCAGGAAGAACACCGGUGGCGAAGGCGGGUCUCUGGGCCGCUACUGACGCUGAGGAGCGAAAGCGUGGGGAGCGAACAGG